CCAUAGCCGACGGACAUAUGAAGGCCAGCGUAAUGAGCUUGCUGGAUUGUUCGAGAGGUAGUGCAUGNCCGUCGUCAGUUCGUACCGCAAGGCGUUCUGUUAAGUCAGAUAACGAACGAGACCCUCAUCCCUAUUUGCCAAGAUCUGUCCGCAGAUCACGGGACUAUAGGGAGACCGCUGGCGCGAAGUCAGAGGAAGGCGAGGGCAACGGUAGGUCAGUAUGCUCCGAAUGCUAUGGGCUACACGCGCAAUACAAAGGACGGGACAAUGGGCUGCAACUCCGAGAGGAAUGACGCUAUCCCGAAACCCGUUCGUAGUUCGGAUUGAGGGCUGUAACUCGCCCUCAUGAAGCUGGAUUAGGUAGUAAUCGCGUCUCAAAAAGGCGCGGUGAAUAUGCCCCUGCUCCUUGCACACACCGCCCGUCAAACCAUCUUAGUUGUGGGUGGGUGAGGCUGCCUCUCUUUCGAGAUGUGGUAUUCGAGCCUGCCUUCGACAAGGAGGGUUAAGUCGUAACAAGGUA
rnacentral:rRNA from 1 species